GACGAACCGUGCGAACGUUGUUCGGAUUCACUGGGCUUAAAAGGCGCGUAGGCGGGCGGUCAAGUCGGGGGUGAAAUCUUUCCGCUUAACGGGAAGCGUGCCUCCGAUACUGAUCGCCUCGAGGGAGGUAGGGGCAUGUGGAACUUCCGGUGGAGCGGUGAAAUGCGUAGAUAUCAAGAGGAACACCAGUGGCGAAGGCGAGUCCCUGGACAACUUCUGACGCUGAGGCACGAAAGCUAGGGGAGCAAACAGG
rnacentral:rRNA from 1 species